ACGAACGCUGGCGGCGUGCCUAAUACAUGCAAGUCGAGCGGAAUGAUGAAGAAGCUUGCUUCUUCUGAUUUUAGCGGCGGACGGGUGAGUAACACGUGGGCAACCUACCUUGUAGAUUGGGAUAACUCCGGGAAACCGGGGCUAAUACCGAAUAAUCCAUUUUGCUUCAUGGCGAGAUGUUGAAAGACGGUUUCGGCUGUCACUAUAAGAUGGGCCCGCGGCGCAUUAGCUAGUUGGUAGGGUAAUGGCCUACCAAGGCGACGAUGCGUAGCCGACCUGAGAGGGUGAUCGGCCACACUGGGACUGAGACACGGCCCAGACUCCUACGGGAGGCAGCAGUAGGGAAUCUUCCACAAUGGACGAAAGUCUGAUGGAGCAACGCCGCGUGAGUGAAGAAGGUUUUCGGAUCGCAAAACUCUGUUGUAAGGGAAGAACACGUACGAGAGUAACUGCUCGUACCUUGACGGUACCUUAUUAGAAAGCCACGGCUAACUACGUG
rnacentral:rRNA from 1 species